UGCAGAUCCUGGAGCCGAGGGGUCUGCGUCCCGCACUGGUGCUGGUCCAGGGAUGCCUUGUGUGAGUUAGGGAAAGGCGCCUCUCUGGGAGAGCCCCCUACCUCGGCCCCACGCUGGGAUCCAGGGCUUGGGAGAAGAGGGGGCCUGACCACGUGACAGCAUCCUGUGUGGGGAGACGACGGGACAGACCCAGGGUCCAGGAGAGGAGAGGAGCUCGGUGACGGCCGGGUUUCUGUCUCCGCUUGCCCACCACGUCCCUGGGCCCGCACUGCAGCCCUGGGCGGGCUACAGACACAGUGCCUAAGGGUGUGAUGCUGGAGUGGUGGUGGCCAUCUUGAGGCCAUGAGGGAACAAGCCGGAGACUAUACUGGAUCCUUGAAGACAUGAAGACAUUGGUGAGCUACUAAAUUAAUCAACCCUG